AUACACAGCAAGAGUGGGUCUAAUGCCCAUCAUACCAGAUAUGACAUAUCAAUUUGAAUAAAAAAUAUAAAUUUCAAGAAAUGGCUUAUGGUCAGUUAUUAUAUGUGUUUAUCAUCAAAACAAAGUGGAUAAAAUAUGUAAUAACCCUGUGGGGAAAUCUGUGGUUCUAAGAUUUGGUCCUCCCAAAGUCCCAUGUGACCACAGCCAGUUGAUCCAUUGCGAGUCACCAAUUCUAAAAAUCUGCAGUAUCAUGGCAUCUGCAUUUAUAGAGCAAAACAAAU